rnacentral:rRNA from 1 species
UACGGGGGGGGCAAGCGUUGUUCGGAAUUACUGGGCGUAAAGGGCUCGUAGGCGGCCAACUAAGUCGGAUGUGAAAUCCCAGGCUCAACCUGGGAACUGCAUCCGAUACUGGAUGGCUUGAAUCCGGGAGAGGGAUGCAGAAUUCCAGGUGUAGCGGUGAAAUGCGUAGAUAUCUGGAGGAAUACCGGUGGCGAAGGCGGCAUCCUGGACCGGCAUUGACGCUGAGGAGCGAAAGCCAGGGGAGCAAACGGG